rfam:Aestuariivita atlantica strain 22II-S11-z3 contig20, whole genome shotgun sequence.
CGAUCGGGAGGCCCCCUUGGGACGGGUGCCAGGUAUGGAUCGGUCUUGCAGUCUCGAUGGGAGCCUCACGCCGAAGCCCGGCGGCGAUGCGGC